UGCAAGAAGAGAGGCCAGAAUGGUGUCUCGGUGGUUACUGGCCGCCCACAGCAACACAGUCAGAGCCAUAUAAGUGGGUUUCCAGGGACAGAGGGACUGUACCCCGGCCCCGGGAGUGUGUGCUGGUGUGCAGGCCUCUGGGAGAAUGAGGGGUGUGCUGCUGACCAUCCUCCUGGCUGGAGUCUCAUUGCCCAGGGCCCCGGCUGUGUGGCUGGGGAGGCUGGACCCUAAGCAGCUUCUGGGGUCCUGGUAUGUCCUUGCUGUGGCCUCCGGAGAAAAGGGAUUCGCAGCAGAAAAGGCCACAAAGAACAUCGAGGGGGUCGUGGUGACCCUCACUCGGGAAAACAGCCUGAAAGUGCGGUCCUCAAGGCACAGGCUGGAGACAUGUGACCUGAGCGUUGUGGAGUUGCUGAGACAAAACUCUGGAUGGGUGUUUGAGAAUCCGUGUAAGAAUGACGCCACUGCGGUUGUGUCCAGGACACUGUGGGCGCCGGCUCCAUUUCCCUGCUGGCAUCGGGCAGCAGCCCUGGGCCCGCGGUCCCCUGCAGGCAGGGCCAGUGCUGGUGGGGAGAGGACGGGCGACUCCGUCCUGAGGCUUCAGUGUAGCUCCGGACCAGGAAGCGAAAGGACCUCAUUUUCCCGGAGGUUGACACCAAUCCUGAGGCCAGAGGACUCGCCGGCCUGUCACGCUCAGCUGGGACCCCAGGCCUCCCUCUGUAGUGUGUGUGGGUGGGGGGACCCUGGCACUUGGCCCCGGUGGGGAACAGUAUCUAGGGAGCAUGACCCCAGUUACCCCCAUGAUGUCACUGUCCAUCAGUCACUGAGAGCAAUGCAUGUGGCAUGGGGCGGGCGGGGACGAGGACAGAGCUGGGGGCUAUCGGGCUGCUGGGAGGGCCUCUGGGAGAUCUGACAACCCCCACGCGCCGGGGCUCUCGCCCCGCAGCCCUGGGCGUGAUGGAGUACCGGGUGUUGGGCACCAACUUCAGAGACUACGCCAUCGUGUUCACGCAGCUGGAAUUGGAGGACGAGGCCUUCAGCACCGUGGAGCUGUACAGUGAGUGUCCGAGGGGUGCCAGGCGUCCGUGCUCUACAUGUCGGGGCUACAAAGGGAUAUGCAGGCUGCAGCCCCCCCCUUUCAUCCCCCAGUGAGUCUGCAGCCUCACUCUGCGCCUCACCCCUAUAUGAAGUUGCCAGCUGGGAUCCCCACGCCUUCCUUUCACGGCUUCACCCCCACCGUUCUGCCCCUGAAGAAAGCAGGGCUCUGCACAAAGGGAGGGACGCGGCCCCUGACGCCAGAGCUGGGGGUGGGGGAGGGCCCCACGGGGCGAAGGGCCUUGGGAUCAGAGGAGGGCAGAGCCCUUGCCAGCCAUCCCUCCAGUCCUGCUGCAGACAGGCCUCCCAGCCCCAGGGCUAUCAGGGGCACCCCCUGCCCCCCAGGUCGGACGGAGCGGGCCAGUGAGGCGGGCCUGAGCCUCUUCGCCAAGUGGAGCCAGGGCCUGGGCUUCCUGUCACAGCAGCAGGCCAGGCUGCAGACCGACCCCACCUGUGCACGGAAGGCCUUCCAGGUAAGCUGCUUCUGAGUGUCACCCGGGCUCACUGUGCAGCAGUGAGAGCCUAAGGGCCCUGGGAACCCCCACACCCCAGUGGGCAGGAGGGGCCAGUGUCUCCACUGUCAGGAAGGGCUGGAGAGUAGGGGGCAGAUGCUUCUUGGGGUGAACCUGGGGUCCCCCAGUGCUCUUCUCGUUUCCAGUGAAUUCUGUGGCAGCUGGGGUCCAGCACCCACCUCGCUCAGCUGCCCGGUGCUCCCAGGGGCUCCUGCUGCAGACCCGAAUAAAAGCAUUCUAGAAGCCCA